rnacentral:rRNA from 1 species
GACGAACGCUGACGGCGUGCCUAAUACAUGCAAGUAGAACGCACAGUUUAUACCGUAGCUUGCUACACCAUAAACUGUGAGUUGCGAACGGGUGAGUAACGCGUAGGUAACCUGCCUGGUAGCGGGGGAUAACUAUUGGAAACGAUAGCUAAUACCGCAUAAUAUUGAUUAUUUCAUGAUAAUUGAUUGAAAGAUGCUAUUGCAUCACUACCAGAUGGACCUGCGUUGUAUUAGCUAGUAGGUGAGGUAACGGCUCACCUAGGCGACGAUACAUAGCCGACCUGAGAGGGUGAUCGGCCACACUGGGACUGAGACACGGCCCAGACUCCUACGGGAGGCAGCAGUAGGGAAUCUUCGGCAAUAGACGAAAGUCUGACCGAGCAACGCCGCGUGAGUGAAGAAGGUUUUCGGAUCGUAAAGCUCUGUUGUAAGAGAAGAACGGGUGUGAGAGUGGAAAGUUCACACUGUGACGGUAUCUUACCAGAAAGGGACGGCUAACUACGUG